GGGAAUAUUGCGCAAUGGAGGAAACUCUGACGCAGUGACGCCGCGUAUAGGAAGAAGGUUUUCGGAUUGUAAACUAUUGUCGUGAGGGAAGAAAUUGACAGUACCUCAGGAGGAAGCUCCGGCUAACUAUGUGCCAGCAGCCGCGGUAAUACGUAGGGGGCAAGCGUUAUCCGGAUUUACUGGGUGUAAAGGGAGCGUAGACGGCUGUGCAAGCCAGAUGUGAAAGCCCGGGGCUCAACCCCGGGACUGCAUUUGGAACUGUGUGGCUGGAGUGUCGGAGAGGCAGGCGGAAUUCCUAGUGUAGCGGUGAAAUGCGUAGAUAUUAGGAGGAACACCAGUGGCGAAGGCGGCUUGCUGGACGAUGACUGACGUUGAGGCUCGAAAGCGUGGGGAGCAAACAGG
rnacentral:rRNA from 1 species